rnacentral:misc_RNA from 1 species
CGCCGAAGGUGGGGCUGAUGACUGGGGUGAAGUCGUAACAAGGUAGCCGUACCGGAAGGUGCGGCUGGAUCACCUCCUAACAGGGAGACAAAAACUGAUCGUGAUGUCUAGGUUAUUUAUUCUUAGGCCAUGAUCCUGUCACCUUAGGUCGAUCGGUACCUCAGAUUUUGUGCUCAAUUAGAUGAUUUAAGUAUCUGAUUGGGUACUCGAUUUCAGUUCCUAAACUUGUCUAGGUCACACCCAACAAGGGUACUCCUGGGCCAUUAGCUCAGGUGGUUAGAGCGCACCCCUGAUAAGGGUGAGGUCCCUGGUUCAAGUCCAGGAUGGCCCAUUCGGUGUUGGGGGUAUAGCUCAGUUGGUAGAGCGCCUGCUUUGCAAGCAGGAUGUCAGCGGUUCGAGUCCGCUUACCUCCACUGAUCCAACUCCUGAUAACGAAAUCUAAGGAGAUUUACGUUGUGCUGUGUGAUUUAGACGUUGUUUUAUCUGAAUGAUCCUAGCUUCCUAUCAUCAAUUAUUUACGAAAAUUAUUAGGUAAUUUGUUGACAGGACGCUGGGCUCACUGAAAUUUUAAUUCUAAAAAUUUCAGAGAUGUUCAGUAGAACCUUGACAACUGCAUAGGUAAGUCUGGAAAGAAUAAAGCAUCUCAUGGAUGUUAUUGCUCUUAAUUUAAAUACCCUUAUUCUAUAAGGAUAUUUAAAUAGGGUGAUAUUAAAAUUCUUGAGUAAGAGCCGAGACUCUAGACAAUAUUAUCUUUUGAUUAAUUGGCUCUAAAUUUCCAAUUUAGUGUCAAUAAAUUAAGGCUAUGAGUUUAGAGAUUAAUUGGUCAAGCUACAAAGGGCUCACG